rnacentral:misc_RNA from 1 species
GGAAGUAAAAGUUGUAACAAGGUUUCCGUAGGUGAACCUGCGGAAGGAUCAUUAUUGUAUAACCGAGGUGCGAGGGCUGUCGCUGACCCAAAAGGUCGUGCACGCCCGAGUGCCCUCACACACAUCCAUCUCACCCCUAUGUGCACCACCGCGUGGGUCCCCCUUUGGCUUGUUCGGAGGGGGGCUUACGUUUUCACACAAACUUUGUAUGCAGUGUAGAAUGUAUUUUUUGUUUUUGCGAUCACGCAAUCAAUACAACUUUCAACAACGGAUCUCUUGGCUCUC